CUUUUUGCCAUUUCUUGGGGCACUCCCGCGGCAUAUGGAGGUUCCCAGGCUAGGGGUCGAAUCGGAGCUGUAGCCGUUGGCCUACACCAGAGCCACAGCAACACGGGAUCCAAGCUGCAUCUGCAACCCACACCACAGCUCACAGCAACGCCGGAUCCUUAACCCGCUGAGCGAGGCCAGGGAUUGAACCUGCAAUCUCAUGGUUCCUAGUCGGAUUCACUAACCACUGAGCCAUGACGGGAACUCCUGAGGGGUUGACAGAGCAGCUGUGGCAGCACAGUGCCUGUGUGUGGAUCCCAGCUCUACCCCUCAUUAGCCAUGUGAUGUUCAAGGAGUUACUUAUGCUCUCCGACUCAAUUUUCCCAUCUGGAAAAUGGGGAUAAUAACUGUAUCGCCCUCGCUAGAUGAGGUAGAUGAAAUCAGUAUGUAUUCAAGCAUUUAGAACAGCACCUGAUUAGAGAAGUUAUCAGGAUCCCAACCACCUUGUCAGGCUGAAAUGGUGGGAUCUCAUCAAAUGAAAGCUAUGAAGAUAAAAUAUUCACAAUAAAUUAUAAUACCCAAUAAGGAAAACAACCUACAAGUCUAACACUAGGCAGUUGAUCUACAUACAUAUGAUGGAACAUGCCUGCCAUCCAAGUCAUGUGACAGAGGAAUACUAAGGCAAUGAAGACAAUGAAUCAGGAUUAGGGAGAGGAGGUGUUAGGGCAAGCGGUCUCUCAGGGAUGGUACUGAUCAGGGACCAAAAUGAGAGGCUGGAGCCAUGCAGCACUGGGAAGAGCACAGGCCCUAUAGCAGGAAAGAGCUUAGAUUGGAAGGCAGCAUACAAGCCUGGAGCACAGUGCACAAGGCCGGGAGAAGAAGGAAAUGAGGUUGGAGAGGCCAUGCCAUGCAGGGCCCUGCAAGCCAGGGGAAGCUCUAGGGUUUCAUCUCAUGUGACCUGAGAAGUUAUUGGAGGGCUGUGAGCAGGAGAGAGUUAAGAUUUUAAAGGAUCACGCUGGCUACUUUUUGGAGAACAGACUGGAGGGGGGGGUAAGAAAGGAAGUAGGGGAACCUAUUUUGGGCAAUAGUAGUUUAAUAGUUUUGCGGUAUUUUAAGAAAGAGAUGAUGGUGGCUUAGGCUGCGAGGAAAUGGUGAGAAGUGGCAGGCCCAGAAUACAUUUUGAAUAGUAUGACCUUCAUUUUGCAAAAAAAGAAAUACCCACAUUACACAUAUGCUGGGAAGAUGUACGUGCAGGAAUGAAUAGUGGUUAUCUCUGGAUCACGCUAUUUAUGGUGACUUUAAUUUUCUUCUUUGUGAUUUUCUGUAUUUUUUCCAACAAUCAUGUAGUAUUUGAGAAAUCAGAAUUUUAAAAAGGACAUUUUUGGAAAAGGAAAAGAAACAAUAAUCCGAGAGCAGGACAAAUGAGGUGUGGAUCAGUAAUAGCCUAAAGAGAUGCUGAGGAUUUGACUGACAGCAAUUUCAACACCUGUUGACAGUUUAAAUGACUAAAAAAUUAAUAACUACUAGUAAUAUGACAUAAUUUAGGGACUGCCUAAUAAGGACUUUGCUCUCAGUGGGAGGCGACUGUCCCUUGCAGUCUGCUUUAUCCAAGCCCACUUGGUGUAUCAUGUGUAGGUCUGGGUGCCACAGUCUAAGAUCUAAAUGAGCAACAGGAGAACAAUCAGGGUAGGGAGGGGGCUUCAAAUCACACACUGUAAUAACAGGAGCAGUUACCACCCACUGGGCACCUACUCUGUGGCAGGCACUUUAAAAAAUAUAAGGUAGUUAAGACAUGAGAUGCUCAAUUCAAAUGGAAGAAGAAAAGUGGCAAAUGAAUAUUUUUUGAGCACUAAUGGAGCCACUGCACUUUUUCAUACUUUAUCACAUCGAAUUCCUGCCGUGAUAUUCCGAGCUAAGUCUGUUUUGUAGAACCACAGUUCUAUGCAAUUGAAUUGUGCAAGCAAAACCGCAUCAUUGUGGACCCUGGAGCUCAAGAGCCUGGGUUCAAAUACUAGCCACUAUAUGACCUUGGGCAUGUUACCCAGUCUUCUCAGCCUCAAUUUUUUCAACUACAGAAGAGGGGUGUGACACUAAUCUCAUGGGAUUGUUCAAAGAUUGAGUUAGUUAACACAUGAGAGCAUCUAGCACAGUGCCCGGCAUAGAGUAAGCUCAAUGAACAGCAGCUGUUAUGGUUAAGAAAACAUGCCUGGGAGUUCCUGUUAUGGCUCAGUGGUUAACAAACCCAACUAGGAUCCAUGAGGAUGCAGGUUUGAUCCCUGCCCUUGCUCAGUGGGUUAAGGAUCCGGCGUUUCCGUGAGCUGUGGUAUAAGCCACAGAUACGGCUUGGAUCCUGCAUUGCUGUGGUUGUGGUGUAGGCCGGCAGCUGUAGCUCCAAUUCAACCCUUGGCCUGGGAACCUCCAUAUGCCAUGUGUGUGGCCCUGAAAAGACAAAAAGACAAAGGAAAAAAAAGAAAGAAAGAAAACAUGCCUAAAAUCACCCUGUGAGUAAGUUGGGGAAACACUGGAGAAGAAAAGAAUCUCAGUUACUUUCUAGGAGGUGAAGGUUUGUCAUAGGGAAGGAGAAGGAGGCUUGUGCUGAUUUCAAGAAGGAGAACCAGGCCCAGCAGACAUAAGUAUAACAGGGUGUUUGGUAGGAUGCAACCCAAAAUUAGUUAGCUGGAUAAUGUCGGUUUCUUUUUGGCCAAAGCAGAUACAGAUUUUCCUCAUUCAGGGAAGAGUCCUUAAGCAGUCACUCUUUCUUAUGAUGCUGUAAGAGGCCAUCCCACUGGUCUGGAAGGAGAGUCCAGUAAAGCUACCUGUGGCCUGACAAAGCCCACCUCUUUGCUUACCCUUUAACCUCUGAUGAGAGGUAGGGCAAUUGCAUGGAUUUCAAGGAGCCUCGUGGGAGGAGAUGUUAUUAGAAUCUCCCUGAUGGCUUAGGAUUGAUUCCAUAAGAAACCUUCUGGGAGGAAAAAAGUCAAAGACCCUAAAGGGAAAACUCACCAUGAGAAAAGGGGCAGUCUAGUCUGAUGGUCCGGGGAUACCAGCAAGAACGCAGGAUAACCCUUGAGGGGUUGGGGGGAGCCGAUUCUAGAAACUCUUCUGACGUGCAAUUUGAGAACAAUGGCUGAGCACUGUGAACUAAAAGAGCUGCCACUUUGGUGUCCCAGCACAAAAACCAGGCAAAGACUCUAGGGCGAGAAGAGAAUCCCCUCAGCAGUGGGAAGUGGUGCUGGACUGUGCAGAGCCAGGAUUCAGUGUCACCCCUGCUGAGAAGCAGCAACACCAACAGAUCAUGCAGACUCCCCAUGUUUUCCUCUGCCUGCAUUUGAAAUUGGAACUGACUCUUGCGGAAUGAAUUAAGACUGGGGUGUUCUUAGUGUUUUUAUACAUUUAGAAAAGGUAGGAAGUUCAGGUGGGGCAGGUUGAUAUUAAGAGAGAUUUUGGAUUUCCUAACAUGAGCAGGAAGAUGUUCUGGCAACUAACAGAGGGGAAAAGAUGUAUCUAUUAUUUGUAACCCCUACCCCAAGCUGGUAAAAUACAUCAAAUCAGUUGUGUGUAUGUAUCUAUUUAACAAGACUUGAUCAAGCUCAUCAUUAAGGAUUUUUAAAAAUGAGAAUUAAUAAUAAUAAUAGCUAAUAUUUUUUCCGUGCUUAGUAUAUGCCAAACUCUUAAUAUGCUUUAGCUCAUUGCUCCUCAUAAAACCCCUUGAGAUGGUGACUACGUUUAAUCAUCACUUUACAGAUGAGGAAACUAAUGGUGGGAGAGGCUAAAAUACCUUGUUCAAGGUCAUGCAGAAGACACUGAUGGAAUAAGAAUCAGAUGAUAGUGUCCCUGAAUCACAGAACCUAUUCUUUCAGUUACUGUAUCCUUCUACCUCCUUAUAAAGAUGGAGAGAGUGUAGAUCAGCAUGGCAUGGUAGCUGAUGAGAUUAAAAUAGGUGCAUGAUAGGGCUAGAAUACCUAUACAGUCCUUUCUUAGGCUGCAAUACAGAGAUUUUAUACUUCCUUGUAACCUUAAAAGUCUGUGUUUCAUUUAUCUCUACAGAAUUGCUAUCAAAGUGAAUUGUUUAUAUGAGUGGAAAAUAAGCGUAGGAACUACUGCCAAGGAACAUAAAGAUAAACCACAUGUUGAGAUGCAUUCUAAGUCUGUAGGUCAAAUUGCAUUACAAUGACCUUCAGAGAAGCAGUAUUUGUUCAUUCAACAAAUAUGUAUUACAUGCCAUCUAUGGGUAUUGUUCUAGGAGCUUGGUAUACAGUAGUGAGCUGUGUAAAUUGCAUAGUAUAUUAGAAGGCUUUAAGUACUUGAUCACAGUUGCAUUUGAAAUUAGGCCAGCAGAGGAGACCUCUUUGACAUCUAAGCAAACGGUUGAAGGGGGUGACAGAGUCAGCCAUGUAGGUAUCUGAAGGAGAAACAUUUUGGCAGAGGAUACAUCCAAUGCAAAGGCCUGCCUGGCUAAAGGUACUGCAAAGAGGCCCUUGUGACUAGGGCAGGGCUAGGGGAAGAGGUGAGGCCCACACAGUGGGGGAAGAGUGGCAGGUCUUCCACGCCAUUGUCAGGACUUUGGCUUUGAUACCAAGUGAGAUGAGGAACUGCUGUGGGGUUAAAAGCAGAGGAGUGACACAAUCUGACUUACAUGAGUUUAUGAAGAUGGCCCCCCUGGGUGGGGGGAGGAAGUGGGAUGUAUGGGGAGUUUGAGGUUGGUAGAUGCAAACUAUGACAUUAGAGUGGAUAAGCAAUGGGGUCCUACUGUACAGCCCAGGGAACAAUAUCCAGUCUCUUGGGAUAGAACAUAAUGGAAGAUAGUAUGAGAAAAAGAACAUACACACACACACACACACACACACACACACACACAUAUAUAUAUGACUGGGUCACUAUGCUAUACAGGAGAAAUUGGCACAACAUUGUAAAUCAACCAUACUCUAACAAAAAAUAUUCUAAAACUUAAAAAAAAAUGCACUGCAUUUUAUGUUGUUUUGACUUGAAAAUGUCCUUUAAUACUGAGAUUGUUGCUCAUAAGGAAACGGUGCUAACACCUAAACGAAUAUCUGCAUGAUGUGCUGAGAACCACACCAGUCUUGUGAUGAGAGUGGAGGUGGGGGGGGGGGUGGAUGUGAGUAAAAAUAGUUUCGUCCUUUAGUUCAGAGCAACUGGGAGGAAUAACUAAUAACAAUAGCUAUAAAGGUCACUGCAAACAUUAAGUGCUAUAAAAUACUAACCACUACUUAAAAAUAAAAAGCCUGUCAUUAUUCUUUGGCCCAGGAGUAAGGACCCCUGGCAGCCUGCAUGCCGCAGCCAGCC
rnacentral:lncRNA from 1 species